rnacentral:lncRNA from 1 species
AAUACAGUAAAAAUGUGGUAUUAUAAUCAUAUGGAAUUACCACAGUAUAUGCAGACCACUGUUUACUGAAAUGAUAUCAUGUGGUACAUGACUGUAUUUUGUUGUUCUUUUUUAUAAUACACAUAUUUUAAAACUCUUAUUUUUCCUUAGAAUAACUGAAUAAUCUUAGACGUGACUUAAAAACAAGGGUCUGAACAUAGAAUUUGAAUAAAGAAUUCACAUCAUUAAUAUAGUCAAGCCCAACCCCACUGUUGAAGGGAGUAUUCACUGUGAAUGUUACCAAAAAAAUGCAGAAAGUUUUCUUUUUAAAGCAUUGCUCUACCUUUUGCCGCAGAACAUUACAUUUCAGUUCUACCUGAAAUACCUCUCUGAACUCUUUCUUCCACAUAUAUAGAAGAUCUUUUAAAUAAUCAAACAUUAACUGCUUCCACAUUUUAGAAGGGAUAAGCAAUAAAUUAUGUUUUCAGAUAUAAACUCCAUCAAAAAUAUAUGCACAUUUACAUUGGUUUUUAAGUGCCCAAAGCCCCUUUAAACCUAAGCAAGGCACCACAUCAGGACACCAUUCAUACAAUUCUUAGCAGAACCUGAACACUAAAGGACACAAUUUGUUGUGGCAACUUUACUCAGCAGGUAGGGAAAGCCUAAGCCAAAGUUCACCUCUUCCAGGAGGUCGUCUUCCCUAACCAUUUCAUCCCAUAGUGACUGUCCCUUCUCGUAACUCUUGUUGGAGUACUCAUCACCUAAAACAAUCACCAUCUGCUUUUGUCCUUUCUCUCCUCUAUUAAAAUUCCUUGAGGGUCAAGGCCUACGUCAUCUUCUCCUUCUUCACUCCUCCACUAACACCCCCAAGAGUGUCUGCGUAAGUUGACAUGUUCUCAAUUGAAUUGGGGAGCAGAGAAACUAAGCCCUAACCUUCAGAAGAGAGGGCCUGUAGGCUGAAUCUAGCUUUAUGUUUUCCCAGUUGAAUGACUCAGAGCAAUCUCUGCAUCUCAUUUCAUCCAUAAAGCAAAAAUGUUAGUCACAAUUGUUUUAAAUUGUUUCAAAGAUGAAAGUAAAUCAUUGUUGAAAAACAUUUAUGAUAGUACCUAGCACAUAGU